GCCUACGGGACGCAGCAGUGAGGAAUAUUGGUCAAUGGGCUUACGCCUGAACCAGCCAAGUCGCGUGAGGGAAGACUGCCCUAUGGGUUGUAAACCUCUUUUGUCAGGGAGCAACGCCGGCUACGUGUAGCCGGACUGAGAGUACCUGAAGAAAAAGCAUCGGCUAACUCCGUGCCAGCAGCCGCGGUAAUACGGAGGAUGCGAGCGUUAUCCGGAUUUAUUGGGUUUAAAGGGUGCGUAGGCGGGAUGCCAAGUCAGCGGUAAAAAUGCGGUGCUCAACGCCGUCGAGCCGUUGAAACUGGCGU
rnacentral:rRNA from 1 species